UACGUAGGGGGCGAGCGUUGUCCGGAUUCACUGGGCGUAAAGAGCUCGUAGGCGGUUCGGCAAGUCGGGUGUGAAAACUCCAGGCUCAACCUGGAGACGCCACCCGAUACUGCUGUGACUCGAGUCCGGUAGGGGACCACGGAAUUCCUGGUGUAGCGGUGAAAUGCGCAGAUAUCAGGAGGAACACCGAUGGCGAAGGCAGAUCUCUGGGCCGUAACUGACGCUGAGGAGCGAAAGCAUGGGGAGCGAACAGG
rnacentral:rRNA from 1 species